UGGGUGAGGAACCAGUGAGUUAGGCUUACUUACAGAGCAGCCGCAGGAAGUUAUGAGCAGGAGCAGAGGUGACGUUAAAGCAGCCACAUUGGACAGCCUGCACCCAGGAGGGAUGAUGGCUUCCUCAGGGCUGCACAGAGAAGACCCCUCCCCCUCAGCCUCCCACCUAUGUCCUCUAGCCCCACCCCCACGAGCCAUGAGCCCCAAGGCAGUUAGGGCAGAACUGCAUACAGCUGGUUGGCAGGGUUGGCUCCCAUGACCCUCCUGCCUCCUCCUUCUAGGAGAGAGGGAAUAGUCAACAGGCCCAGCUGUGAUGAGCUUUGUGAGCAGGCCCAGCUGUGAUGAGCUUUGUGAGCAGGCCCAGCUGUGAUGAGCUUUUUUGAGCAGGCCCAGCUGAACUCCCAGGCGGCCGUUUGUGUUGGAGGACGGUCCUGCACAAAACCUCUCCCUCCUCUUUCAGUGCUUACAUUUCUUUCCACCCCUCUCCCACAAGGGUCCCUGAGCCCGGGAGCAGGCGACACACAUUGACCAUUCUAACUCCAGUGAGGUACCCACCCAUGUGCCCUUUCCUCAUCCUUCUGUCUCCAGAAGGUGGCUGAUGGCAAGUCUGACGCGUAUGUCCUCUACUACAAACACCAGUGAGGAAAACGGAUGAAAAACAGAAAUGGGAAAUAAUCCGAACGGACAUGACCUGUGUUAACAGCCUGUGACUGGGCCUCUAGGACCUCUGUGGCCGACAGCCCAGGGAGAUGACCCACUCUGGGCACUGGGACUCGAGACUAGCAGCCUUCUGUCUGCGGGAGCACCCAUCUCGACUCUCCGUAGAUACCUGUUCAGCCGUUAGCAUGUACAGGCCUUGGCUGUUGCAGACUUUUCCUCAUCACCUUGCAUGUCGGAAGCCUGGAAAGCUUUUAAAGCUCUGGCCAUGAAGAAGUGUUGGAGCAGAAGGACAUAAACUGCCAUCAACAACUCAGAGAGGCACCACCACCUGUCCUAUGUUUGAGUAAGGGAAGUGUCUGUCAACUCCACAACACCCAUAUCCCCAUUUCUCAGCACACACACCCUCCUUCGUACCUACCCCCCUAAAUGACCCUAAGAGCCCUGGUUACUAAGGUAACCUGGGAACAGCACAUGAAGACAGAGACUAGAAACAGAUGGGGCUAUUUUUAAACUAGACUAGGUGGCUCCAUUUCUUUUAUCCCUCAAAGUGCCUUCCCCAGACCAAAGUCCCAUUUGGCCAUUUUACAUCUGUACCCUUCGUCGCUGGCAUCCACCCAACUUACACAAGCUACAAGAGGAGGUCUUUACCUUAUUUUUGUCAUCAAGUCUACGUUAUGCUCCCAUCUUCCACAACAGCCCUCUAAGUCAAUUUUCAUUUCCUUUGUUAAAAAAUAAUGUUCCUUUAUUUCUUUGGAAAGUAGUGGGCACUGCCCUACAGAUUUCCAGGCCAAGCUUGGUAAGUGAAUGUUCCCCUAGUCUUUGGGUUGGAGUAUUAUGGUCCCAGGCUUCCCAGGGGCCCAUGAGCAAUUCUGGGCCCCAAAUCAUCUGAAGGCUCAUAUGAGACCUUCUCUCCUGACCACCCACUUUCCUGAUCUUUCCUGGCUCUCCCUCUGGGUGGGGAAUUUUUCUUUCCCAUACCAGUGCUGGAACCUGUGCUGUUCACAAGUGAGGACAAGACUAGGGACAUCUCCAACUUCCUAUGAGUGAACACAGUCCCUCAGUCCUUUCUGCUGGCUUCCAGUCUCAACUCCUAUGCAAGCCUCUGUAUGAGUGAGGCCUGAAGGACAAGAGGACCCUUUCAAGAGUGGGGAGGAACACACCAGCACAACCCUGCCUCAGGAGAUGCUCCUACGAAGUAUAUUCCUUGUAGUCUCUUGUCCUAGUUUUUGAGUGGCCCCUCAGACAGGGCCGGGGAGGGCUAGGCAUGGGGAAGGGCCCCAUGACCCCAGCCCCAGACGCUGUACCAGGGACUAGAGCCUCCAUUAGUCCUGUCAGUGUGGCAUGGCUGUGAUGCGCAUGCUCUGGGAAGCGAUGGGGUAAGUCACCAUAGGAGUUGUCGUGUGGCUCAUUGUGAUUCCUGCCAAGGGCUGGGCCAUGGACACAGCCACAGGAGCCACAGGAGCCACAGAUACAGCCACGGGGGCCAUGGAAACAGGUGGGGGUGCCAUCCCCUGGGCGAUGGUUUGAGCCAGAGCGGCUGACAGGGGCGUGAUCUCUGGGUUCAAGUGUGGAGGUGGGGGUGGUGGAGCAGCAGGAGGUGCAGCAUUGGUUGGGGGCGCAGCUGGGGCUCCAGCAGGGGCCACAAGUUCUUGCUGGGACACAGGGCGAGGCUGCAGAGCCUGGCUGCUCAGAGUAGUGUGAGUCUGGGCAAUGCCAUGGUUAAAAGUGGCAACAGUACCCACAGUGGGGGCCAGGGUUUGCUCAGUCGCUGGGGCAGUGGAGCUCAGGGUCAUGACCUUGGCCUGAUUGCGGAAUUGGGCAUUUUGUUCCAGAAGUACCUCAUUGGUGGCCAGUAGGUUGCUGACCUGUUUCUUUAGCUCCUCCACCCGUUUCCUGAGCAUGGCAUUCUCCUCCUCUAGCAGUCUGCACUCCACUCCACGGGGCGGAGCCAAGCUAUACUCAUAGGACUCAAAAUGGGGGCCAUCAGGAGGGCAGCAGCCGCCUCUCCGGCGCUUAGGGCCUGGUUCGUGGUCCUCGAAGGCCCUUUCAGAUUUCCCUAAAAUGACUAACCAGAUCGGAGGCCAGAGACACAACGGGACGGAGCGGCCCCAGAAUGAAAGGGGCGAGUGGUAAAGAGAUGACAACCACCUACUAAAAGAUAACGACCAGGUGAAGGAUGUCCCUAAAGCCUGACCUGUGCUUCAAGCCCCACCAGAAGCGGAUAACCGGAUACGACACUCUUCCUCACCCAAUGGUCCCCGAAUUAAUACCUGAGGUAGCUCAGGUGAAGUCCGGGGCUCCUGUGAGUCUCCACUUCCACAUCACUGCUGGGUUCUGAACAAGAAACAAAAAGACCAGAGAUUUGGGUGGAAGAGGGGGAAAGCGUGAAGGUUAGGGGAUGGUUUUCAUAAAUCGGAAUGAAUUCUGACAAGACCUCAA